rnacentral:rRNA from 1 species
CAGCAGCCGCGGUAAUACGAAGGGGGCUAGCGUUGUUCGGAAUCACUGGGCGUAAAGGGUGCGCAGGCUGGUUCUUAAGUCAGGGGUGAAAUCCCGAGGCUCAACCUCGGAACGGCCUUUGAUACUGGGGAUCUUGAGUCCGGAAGAGGUGAGUGGAACUGCGAGUGUAGAGGUGAAAUUCGUAGAUAUUCGCAAGAACACCGGUGGCGAAGGCGGCUCACUGGUCCGGAACUGACGCUGAGGCACGACAGCGUGGGGAGCAAACAGGAUUAGAUACCCGCGUAGUCCCUGUCUCUUAUAC